rnacentral:lncRNA from 10 species
UCUGACAUCAUCUCACCGGCUAUGAGGUGGGAGAAAAAGAGAGAAGAGGGGAACGACAGUGGAAGAAAAUGCAAGAGGAACCACGCUGGUGUGGCCGUGUGAGCGGCUUCCUGCUUAAGGAAUGUAUACAAGAGCAUUAGGUAGAGCCUUCGGGAAAGUGCAAUUUGGCUCCUCCUCCUUCUUCCUUCCUGCUGCAUGGAACGUGGAAGCAAUGGCCGGAGCUCUAGCAGCCAUCCUAGAUCUUGAGAUGAUCUUGAGAAUGGAAGUCAUGUUUGGUGGAGCAAAAGCACAGAGUCUGGGGCUCUGAUACACUAAUGGAGCCUCCAGAUCAGUUCUCUUCUUUCUGCCUCUGGGUUUUGUGUGACAGAAUUAACCCCUGUAUUUUCCCUAUUGUAGUUGGGACUCUUAACCACAGCUGAAGCUAAUCCUACUGAUACACCUUCCAGUAAACCUCUUCUUGGGUUGGUUUCUGUAGCUAGCAGCCUUACUGACUCACAUUCCAUUUGUUCUCUCCUCCACAAUCUCAAGCCCCACAUUCUGGCAGGCCAAGUCUGGCCUGCCUUGUUAAUGACCCAGCCAAGCCUGCCCUCCUCCCCAAAGGACAUGUCAUCUCACACUCCUGUGUCUCUACACAUGCUGUGCCUUCUGCCAGGGAUGUCCUUCCCUGACCUUGUCUACUUUUAACACUCAAUGCAAACAUCACCUCUGCAGCAAUAUGGCUUGGAUGGCUUUGUGUCAUAAUUCCCCACCAGCCUGUGAGCAACCUGGGGUUUAGCAUGCUGUGCAGCGAUUCCUGGGGCUCAACACAUGUGGCUUGAAUGAGGGAAUGAACAUUAUAGUCAUGCGAGGCGAUCUCAAGUGUUAUAACUAGAUCCAUCAAUCUCUUGCCCAGGCCUGCUGCCUACCUGGCUGUUUUCACGCAUGGAAGAGAUUUCUGUGCGUCACUGUGGCUCAUUUCCUGCCAUGAGGCACUGCUGUCCCUCAUCCAUUCCAAACACUGGUUCGAUUUUGAAUGGAUGAUGUGAGGCUUGAAGGUGUUUGGGACAUUAACAAUGUCCCUAAAAGCAACAGAAUAAAGUAAUGGAUUAUUACUCAAAGCAAAAUAAAUAAGUAUCCAUCCCUACUGAUAUAAAUGACUGAACAAAUCAACAAAUAUGGGAGAAGACAAAUCUCUUAUGCAGAAGAAUCCCAAAUUAUUUAUGUGGAUACCCCGCCCUCACGGUGGGGGAGCAUCACUCUUCAUUCGUGAAGUAUGGCUGCACAUAGUGGCUUCUUCCAAAAGUGUACAGUUUUCAAGGGAGGGUGAGGAGGGUCACUAUAAGUUGGAGAAACCUGACAGACACUACUUAGUGAACUAGGUCAACACCAACAGUCACAAUUCAGGUCGAUAGUAUGUGCCCUUGAUAAGAUAUGAGAAUAAUGGCAUUUACUUCGGUGGUCCUCCUCCUGAUAACCUAUAAUUCCAGACUUUCAAUGGAAAAAAUCAGACAGAUUCCAAUGGUGGCUCAUCCUACAAUAACAUCCAACCAGUAGUCCUUGACACUGUCAAAAAAAAAACAACAAGAAAAUUCUGCUGGGUGCAGUAGCAUGCACCUGUAGUCCUAGCUACUUGAGAGGCUGAAGUGAGUGGAUCCCUUGAGCCCAGG